rnacentral:rRNA from 2 species
UACGCGAGCUGGGUUCAGAACGUCGUGAGACAGUUCGGUCCCUAUCCGGCGCGGGCGCAGGAUAUCUGAGAGGAGCUGUCCUUAGUACGAGAGGACCGGGAUGGACAGACCGCUGGUGUACCUGUUGGCCUACCAAGGCCAUGGCAGGGUAGCCAAGUCUGGACGGGAUAAACGCUGAAGGCAUCUAAGCGUGAAGCCCCCCUCAAGAUGAGAUAUCCCAUCGCGAAAGCGAGUAAGACCCCUUGAAGACGACGAGGUAGAUAGGUUAGAGGUGGAAGUGCAGUAAUGUACGUAGCUGACUAAUACUAAUCGGUCGAGGGCUUAUCCA